GGUCCUAUGGCCCAAUGGCUAAGGCGUGUGCCUACGAAGCACAAGAUUCCAGGUUCGAGUCCUGGUAGGAUCG